rnacentral:rRNA from 1 species
CCGAGCGUUAUCCGGAAUCAUUGGGUUAAAGGGUCCGUAGGCGGGCCUGUAAGUCAGGGGUGAAAGGCCACGGCUCAACCGUGGGACUGCCCUUGAUACUGCAGGUCUUGAGUUAUAGUGGGGUUGCCGGAACAUGUGGUGUAGCGGUGAAAUGCAUAGAUAUCACAUAGAACACCGAUCGCGAAGGCAGGUGACCAACUAUAUACUGACGCUGAUGGACGAAAGCGUGGGUAGCGAACGGGAUUAGAUACCCCGGUAGUCCACGCCGUAAACGAUGGAUACUAGCUGUCGGGUCUUCGGACUCGGCGGCCAAGCGAAAGUGAUAAGUAUCCCACCUGGGGAGUACGUUCGCAAGAAUGAAACUCAAAGGAAUUGACGGGGGCCCGCACAAGCGGUGGAGCAUGUGGUUUAAUUCGAUGAUACGCGAGGAACCUUACCAGGGCUUAAAUGCGGGCUGCAUGGGACAGAGACGUCCCUUUCUUCGGACCGCCCGCAAGGUGCUGCAUGGUUGUCGUCAGCUCGUGCCGUGAGGUGUCAGGUUAAGUCCUAUAACGAGCGCAACCCCUACCGUUAGUUGCCAGCAAGUAAAGUUGGGGACUCUAACGGGACUGCCGGUGCAAACCGUGAGGAAGGUGGGGACGACGUCAAAUCAUCACGGCCCUUACGUCCUGGGCCACACACGUGCUACAAUGGCCGGUACAGAGGGAAGCCACCCCGCAAGGGGGCGCGGAUCUACAAAGCCGGUCACAGUUCGGAUCGGGGUCUGCAACUCGACCCCGUGAAGCUGGAAUCGCUAGCAAUCGGAUAUCAGCCAUGAUCCGGUGAAUACGUUC